UACGUAGGGGGCAAGCGUUGUCCGGAAUUAUUGGGCGUAAAGAGCGCGUAGGCGGUUCCGUAAGUCGGAUGUGAAAACUCGGGGCUCAACCCCGAGACGCCAUCCGAUACUGCGGUGACUUGAGUCUGGUAGGGGAACACGGAAUUCCUGGUGUAGCGGUGAAAUGCGCAGAUAUCAGGAGGAACACCGAUGGCGAAGGCAGUGUUCUGGGCCAGUACUGACGCUGAGGAGCGAAAGCGUGGGGAGCAAACAGG
rnacentral:rRNA from 1 species